UACGAAGGGGGCUAGCGUUGUUCGGAUUUACUGGGCGUAAAGCGCACGUAGGCGGGUUGUUAAGUCAGGGGUGAAAUCCUGGAGCUCAACUCCAGAACUGCCUUUGAUACUGGCAACCUAGAGGCUGGAAGAGGUUAGUGGAAUUCCCAGUGUAGAGGUGAAAUUCGUAGAUAUUGGGAAGAAUACCAGUGGCGAAGGCGGCUAACUGGUCCAGAUCUGACGCUGAGGUGCGAAAGCGUGGGGAGCAAACAGG
rnacentral:rRNA from 1 species